rnacentral:rRNA from 1 species
GACGAACCGUGCGAACGUUGUUCGGAAUCACUGGGCUUAAAGGGCGCGUAGGCGGGCCGGCCAGUCUGUGGUGAAAUACCUCGGCUUAACCGAGGAACAGCCAUGGAUACUGCCGGCCUCGAGGAGGGUAGGGGCAUCUGGAACGAGCGGUGGAGCGGUGAAAUGCGUUGAUAUCGCUCGGAACUCCGGUGGCGAAGGCGAGGUGCUGGACCCUUUCUGACGCUGAGGCGCGAAAGCCAGGGGAGCAAACGGG